UCCAGGGCACGUAGAGCCGCCGUAGAUAACCACUAACCGGCCUUCUUCGGAAGAGGGAACGCGGGCUGCUAAGAACAAAGACAAGUUUAGAAAGAAAUUCUGUCCGUUUUAGUUAUAUACUUACUUUAUUUAAAUAUGUCAGACAAAGGAGACGUAGAUCUAACUGGGGCCAAACAAAAUACUGGAGUCUGGCUUGUGAAAGUUCCUAAAUACCUCGCUCAGCAGUGGGCCAAAUCAACAGGCAGGGGCGAUGUGGGGAAACUGCGCAUUUCAAAGAACCAGGGGAAAGCAGAGGUCUCCUUCACCCUAAAUGAGGAGCUGACC